rnacentral:lncRNA from 1 species
AGCGCCUGCCGGUGGCUAGGGCUGCUGCCGCCACUCCUGCAGUGCCCCCACUGGGGGCGCCAACCUCGCCCCUGAUGGCUCGGCCAGGCGCGAGCCUGCAGGCUCCAAAGCUUGCAGAAAUGGCUGUGGUUCAAAGCUCAGGAGAGCAGACUCCAUAGAAGAAAGAGAACCCACAAUGAGAGAAGAGGCACUUUCCGUGGUGCAUGUACUAGCAUCCUGACUGGAUACAUAAGUCAUCUUCAAAGGCUGCAUGCAACUGUACUGAGGCCCACAUGAAAACAGAAACAGCAGUAGCAACAACAACAACAACAACAAAAACCUGCAGCAUCGAAGAACCAAACAUUAUGCCAGAAAAGACCUUUCUCCCCCCAAAACAACACCCAUAAGUUUGGGGUUUUCGAUCAUAGACAUAACUUAUUGAGUGCCACCAUUAAUUUUAGAACAGUUUGCACAGCUUUAUGAAUUUCUUCAAAAAUAUAGAAACAAAAUCCUGGGACUUAGGGUUAGUGGUUGCAUUCAGGAUUCUGAUGGAACAGCCGGCUAUACAAAGGCUCUAGCUUCUCCUAGGAUUUAUGUAACCAAAGACGUAUCCAGGAUGGCCUUUCUGAAACACAAGUCAGAAUCCCUCCCAUCCCAGCGUAGAAAAGCCCUGAGUGCUGUGUCUUUCUUUGCCCUUCCCUGCCAUUCCACUUGCCCAUGGGCUCUUUGCUUCUUUGAAAUCACAAACUCUUCUCUUGCUUCUUGUAUUCUGCACACACUGCUCUCUCCAUUUCUAGUGUUCUUCCUUGCCCUCCUUCAUUGAAAUUCUAUAUAUUUCUGGUAACUGCUUCUCCUUGAACCUGGGCUGGAUUGGAUAGACUUUCAUUCACUCACAUUGUGACUGUGAUUGCCUGGGUACUUCCCUGUCUCCAUCUGGAUUGUGCAUUGAUUGAUAACUGGAUCUCAGACCCCUCUCUUCAAGUGCAGACUGGACCUAACACAUACUAGGAAUUCAAUAUAGAUUUACUGCUACAUGAGAACAAGUGAUCCUAACUUUCACAUUACGUUUCUUUGCCUUUUGGGGUCACUACCAAAUUUCUGAGUAUGUUAAUAGCAGUGAAAAUUCUGUUGAAAGAUAAAAAGCCCAUGGUACUUCAAACUGCACUAUAUUAAAAACAGUUUUCCUCUUUAAAAAUGGGUGCUAUAUCUAUCUCAUUUGGAUGAAAUAUCAUAGCUUACAAAACGCAUUUUCAGAUUUCAUCUCACAUGUCAGUCACACAAGUUAGGCUGGGGCAGACAUUAAUAUCUUCAUUUUGUAGCUGACAACACAGACCUAGUUAGAUCAACUGACUUGCCCAAAGUCACCCUUGCAAGCACUCAGAGGUAAAGCGAACACCAUCUGACCCAAAGCCAACAGAAUCUGGACUACUCCAGUUUAGAUCUCAAGUUGUCUAUUGCAAACCUACUUAGGAGUAUGAGGCUAAAGGGUCAGCUGAUCUGGGGUGAGCAUGGAAUACACAGUAGCAGAGAACUAACAACUGAAAGUAGAAUUGAUGCUCCUGUAUUUAACGGACACACCAGCUGUCCUUCUAUAAGAUCCCAAGUGACAAGAAUAAAGCAAGUCACC